ACGGAAGGCAGCAGUGGGGAAUAUUGCACAAUGGGGGAAACCCUGAUGCAGCGACGCCGCGUGAGCGAUGAAGUAUUUCGGUAUGUAAAGCUCUAUCAGCAGGGAAGAUAAUGACGGUACCUGACUAAGAAGCCCCGGCUAACUACGUGCCAGCAGCCGCGGUAAUACGUAGGGGGCAAGCGUUAUCCGGAUUUACUGGGUGUAAAGGGAGCGCAGGCGGUUUUUUAAGUCUGAUGUGAAAGCCCGUGGCUCAACUGCGGGACUGCAUUGGAAACUGGAGAACUAGAGUGUCGGAGGGGCAAGUGGAAUUCCUAGUGUAGCGGUGAAAUGCGUAGAUAUUAGGAGGAACACCAGUGGCGAAGGCGGCUUACUGGACGGUAACUGACGUUGAGGCUCGAAAGCGUGGGGAGCAAACAGGAUUAGAUACCCUGGUA
rnacentral:rRNA from 1 species